ACGCGCGGAACCUUACCAGGUCUUGACAUCCUCUGACACUCCUAGAGAUAGGACGUUCCCCUUCGGGGGACAGAGUGACAGGUGGUGCAUGGUUGUCGUCAGCUCGUGUCGUGAGAUGUUGGGUUAAGUCCCGCAACGAGCGCAACCCUUGUUCUUAGUUGCCAUCAUUUAGUUGGGCACUCUAAGGAGACUGCCGGUGACAAACCGGAGGAAGGUGGGGAUGACGUCAAAUCAUCAUGCCCCUUAUGACCUGGGCUACACACGUGCUACAAUGGACGGUACAAACGGUUGCCAACCCGCGAGGGGGAGCUAAUCCGAUAAAACCGUUCUCAGUUCGGAUUGCAGGCUGCAACUCGCCUGCAUGAAGCCGGAAUCGCUAGUAAUCGCGGAUCAGCAUGCCGCGGUGAAUACGUUCCCGGGCCUUGCACACACCGCCCGU
rnacentral:rRNA from 1 species